GGUGUUGUUGUUAUUGCAAGACAACAGACUGUUGGAAAAGGUCGUGGAGGAAAUGCUUGGCUAUCUCCGGAUGGUUGUCUUUCAUUUUCAUUUCCUUUGGAGAUUGAACUUAAUUCUAAUCUUGGUCAACGUCUUCCAUUUGUACAACAUAUCGCAGCCCUAGCCAUUGUUGAUGCUGUGAGGGACAUAUCUGGAUAUCAGAAUUUAGAUCUCCGGGUCAAAUCGCCCAAUGACAUUUAUUAUGGAAAUAAGACAAAAAUUGGUGGUGUUCUGGUCAACUCUAUUAUUCAAGGAAGAUGUCUUUGGGCUAU